AAUCAAUCUCACAGUGUGUUCGCAACCUCUGUAUUUAAGCAAGCCUGUCCGGGGUCUUCUCCUGAAGCGGCUAUCAUUUCUCCGAGUGUAAGCUGUCCUUGGUUUUUUCUCUCUGAAGGAAACAAGCAGUCUGAUAUGAGCAGAGGCGAGUGGAAUGACAAAACAUCUCUUCUGCAUUAACGUCGCCAUCAUGAAAGCAAUCACCGUGAGGCUCCGCUCCGAGCCCGUGGUGGAUUAGCCGCGCCACUGUGCUUUCGAACGCCUGAGAUGCAUUGUAAUGACACCAAUCUCAUUUAGACAUUCAAAUGAGUCCAACUGAAUAAACACACUUUCCGCAGUAUAUUUAUGGGUCGUAUUAUGACCGCCCACGAAAAGUGCUGGACAGCUUAACUGUCAUCACAAGAAAACUGUUUAUGGAAAAUAGAUUAAUACAGGGCCAGUGUUCACAAUCAAAAUGAACCAUAAUGCACGGCAGAAAAAGUACGGUACAUUUAUUUCUACGUGGAUAUACUGGCUGUCUAAAUGUAUAGAAUGGCCAAAAUAGCCUACAUAGCUCCUAGAAGUUGUGGCACCAGAUUAUUACAACUAUAUACACUUUUUCCGUAGUAUUGAUAUGACAUGAAUUUACAAGAAUUGGGGGUAAUUAACCAAAUGUUUUACCUUGAAACAACAGCACUUGAAAAAAGACAAGGCUGAGGCUCAAGAGCGGCAUAUAAAUUGGAGACAUUCUUACAAUAAUGAAGGACCCUAAAGUCUGGAAUAAGUCCUGACCAUGAUAGACUCAGGACUAUGCAAUACUCGACUGGGUUCCUGCACUGGCUGCACAGUAUUAGUGCACAAAAAACCCUCUCAGUGCCCUAGACCAGUCUAGCCUAUGUGGAAAUCUAACUCCCACAAUACUUUUUAUAUAUGUAGUAGCUUUUCUCUCCACCACAAUGCAUUCAUCACAUUCUUUUUCUUUCAGCACCUUGGCCUGUGUAUAAAUAAAACAGCCCGGAUGUUACCCUGAAGUAAACAAAAUGUAAACAAAAUAUUUCUACACCAUGAUUUAAAAGGAGCAAUGAACCUGAAACAGUGUGAUCAUGCAUUCCGUAAAAUAUGGUAAAACCCAGCAAUACUAUUAGUCAACCACCAACAACCCUUUGAAGUUCAUCACAGGAAAUAUAAAUCUGGAACGACCUUGAAAACUCAAGACAAAUGAUUAAAGUUAAAUAACACCUA